GGGUGACCGAUCACACCCACAAGCCGGCUGAUAUCAUAAUUAACAAAGUUGCUACUCAGGCCACAAAGUUUAAUAGAAAAAUUUACCAAUGAUACAAUGGCACUGUCACAGAGAUCACAAAGGGACACAGAGUCGACUUUUGCUCAAGGUGGAACGACAGAUCUGUGUGGGCAAGAUGAGAAACUGCGAACCUGCUCAACCAAA
ensembl:misc_RNA